UGGAGAUGGCUCUCUUAAGACAGGAU
rnacentral:piRNA from 1 species